CCCAAGAAAAACAAGGAUUAUUUGGAUCAAUAUAUUGUCUAUUUGAUUUUUUGGGUUGAAUUUGAUAGCAGAGGAACUACAAGAGAUCUUUGCUAGCAACACUUCCCAAUACUCAUGGGCUUCUGAACUUGCAAGAAAGAAGAAGCCUUUGUGGAGGGUAAUCAAGAUAUGGGGGUGGGGAUUUAGUAAAAGAAAGAGGUAGUUGAAGAAUCCAUGGACCAUGGUAUCGAUCAAGUUCUCAUUUAUGCGUCAGUUUGAUUAGAUUAAGUCACAUAUGCAUGUAGAUUAAGUCACAUAUGCAUGUAAUAUUACAGUUAAUUUAUCUUUUGG